UCUUGGAGAAUCCUGUGUAUAGAGAAUCAUUCGCCCAGAGAUGCUUUAGCAUGAUAGAUGAAUAUGCUCCUGGAUUCAGCUCAUCAAUUAUUGGGUAUGAUAUGUUGACUCCUCCAGACCUUGAAAGAGAAAUUGUUGACAGGUGCGCCACUGCUAUCCUCUUGAUCAGUUGUACCUUUUUUACUCCUUCCUGAAGAAAGAACCACAGCUAUAUGUGAUGUCCUUUAUUAGUGGCUGUUUGAUAAAUAUAAAGAUAGACGUGUCAAUGAAAGAUGAAAGGCGAUUUCAGUUCUUAGAGUACUAAAUAUACGUUGUCUGAAUCAUAUGCAAAUUCAAUUUAUCCUCGUGUCAUAGCUUGGAAAUUUGUUAGUUGUUCCAAAUAUGUUCGUUUAACUUGCUGAUUGUACCAUCGAGUAUAACAUUCUAUGCUAAAAGUUGUAAGCUUGUCAAGAUUGUACCAUUUAUUUUGUUGAGCACUAAAAAUGCUCAGUUGGAUAAAUGAAACAUUCUUAGCCAUUCCAAUCUAAAAGAAUAGACUAUUAGAAGUUUCUUAUUAAGUGGCUAAUUGUUGAGCAUUCUGAAUAUUCAGCGAUACGUGAAGUUCGAAUGACCUAAUAUAUGUAUAACAUUGUAAUGGCACUUCAUUGAGUAAUUCUCCUUUCACAUCAAAAGUGUUUAGUGUGUACUAAUAAUGAGUUUCGGUGCUACGGAGCCUUAAAUGGGUUUGGAUGUGAGUCCAAUCUGUUUACUGAAUUACACUGCACACCCAGAAUAGAAAAUCUCCACGAAUAAGUUGUCCUUAGGUUGCCACAAUAUUGGCGAACUUUUAUUGAAGGGUUGCACAACUGUACUAAAGAGUAUGUCCACCACGUCGGGUUUCAACCAUGUUCAUAGCUUAAUCUUCCUGUAAACUAACGUUUUGUGAUCAACUUAUCUGAUGUGUUUCUUGUUGAAGCAUCAGUGUUUCAUCUGCUGUAGGUUAUAAGUAUCAGCAUGCUACAAGAUCUAGGAAGAUAAUAUGAACCUGAUGUUUGGUGUAACUGAGUAGUUUAAGAAAUUUUGUGGAUUCAUCAUGAGAACGAAUGACUAUAGGCUGGAGCAUGCUUAUAGUCCCUGCAAACUGAUACGGCAAAUGCUGAUGUGUUGUGUUGUAUCUUGACAGGAGGCAAUAUAUUCCAUGGAUCCAUGGGAUUAGAUUCUUUGUUUCUAAUGCGGCCAGUAAAAGGAUGGUCAAAUUAUCGGACUCCAGUUGAAGGGCUAUACUUGUGUGGCAGCGGGGCACAUCCCGGUGGUGGAGUAAUGGGCGCCCCAGGACGAAAUGCUGCGCACGUUGUCAUUGAGGACUUCAAGAAAUCAUGAACCUACUCUCCGGCAAGAAGAACUUUUAUGGAGCCAACUCUCAAGCCAAAAGUGAACUGUGUGGCAGUGUGGGCAUCCUAUUGUCCUUCAGAUAUUUGCUGAUACCUUGAUUGCUUCGAAUUUCCUUGUGUCAUGAACCAAAUAGGAAUUACAAAUCGAGAUGCUUUCAGUGUUUAACCAUAUUUGCUCAAUAUGUUCAUGUUCUCACAAAUAACCUUUGUUCUUUAAAGAGAGAAGAUAUCUUCCUGUUA